AUCCUCAAUCUGCUGCGGGCAAAUGAAAUGGAUAUGGCUGUCGAACCCACCGGCGGUCAGGAUGCGGCCCUCGCCGGCAAUCGCUUCGGUCCCUGGGCCUACGAUGAUGUCGACGCCGGGUUGGGUGUCGGGGUUGCCGGCCUUCCCGAUCUUGGCGAUGCGCCCGUUCUUGAGGCCCACAUCGGCCUUGUAGAUCCCGCUGUGGUCAACGAUCAGCGCAUUGGUGAUGACGGUGUCGACCGCGCCUUCGGCACGGGUGGUCUGGGCCUGGCCCAUGCCGUCACGGAU
rnacentral:sRNA from 1 species